CGUCGUCGUCGUCCGAGGGGUCUGUGGACCAGCACGGCUCCUCGUGGGGACCGCGAGCGACCGCCGCGGACCCGCCCGUCUCCCACGAGCUUGUUUGGAUUAACGUCCUAUAAGGUUGUCACUAACCGGUGAUGAUGCGCCGCGUACUGUCUGACUCGCUCUCCCUUCAGCUCGUGCAGCUGGUCGAGCAGCACACGUUUGAUCCGCUCCACCCACGAGCGCUUCACGUCCGUCGUGGGCGCCGUGAUCGUGUGCACCUCGGACCGUCCCUGACGCCACACUUCAAACUUACGAGGAUCUCCCUUCACAGACUCGGUCAGACCAAUUUGUGACAUCUGGAACGCGUUAUAUCGUACACCGGUGAUUGCUAUCUGAUGCAUGGAAUCGUUCACACACUUCAAGACCACUAGCAUACAGUCUAGCGCCUGCUGCAGCCCCGCACUCAUGGAGCCGCACUCGCUGUACCGGAGGAGGUCCUGGGGACGGAUUGGAAUUACAAGAGAAAAAUACACCAAAACUUUGUUCUUUUAUACCUAUAUUUAUUAAAGUCAUAUUUAUCGA